GCUGUUGCCUGGCACCCUGGUGCAUGCCUGCCCACGGCCGUUCCAGAAACAUGCCAAUCAGUGGGCUUAUUUUGUCAUCACGACAUCUCCCUCUGUGCAACAGCGAAAACAAACAGCUCUUCUAAGAAAGGUUGGAGCCGCAAACACUACGGGCUGAAGAGAAAAUGCUUCUUGUCUUUCCAGACUGUUAAAGAACAUGGUUCCAGUUCCCCUUAGCCUGCUUCAGAGGAUUAAUACAGUUUUGAUGAGCUGUGUCUCUCUGAAUGUAGUACAAUUGCCUACUGAAGCUGCUGACAGCACAAAACUUCAUCUGCUGGUAGAAAGUGGAGACAAAAUAUUUCGUACUUAACCUGGGAAAACAAAGAGGAACCACAAUAUUCUGCAAAGGCUGUGAAUUACCUACUAACAAAUCAGUUAUGGACAUAAUCUCAAUGACAAAUAACAGUAAUCAUUAAAAGUUUGUUUCAUAUAAUGGCUGAUAUGUUAUUAAUGAUUAACAUAAUUCCUGGAAGCAGGCAUUAUUAAUAACUGCUAAUUUCUCAAGUUUUUUGGAAAAUACAUGUUAACAGUUCUUCAAUUUUAUUUUUUCACAUUUACAUUAUUUCUAAUGCAUGUCAGUGGCCAGUGGAAUCAAUUGAAACUUGUUCUUCAUGG